AGACGCAGGUAAGAGGGCGCAGAGAGGGGAGGCGUCUGUGCCUGCAGACUGCAGUGUAUCCCCCUGCAGGCCGGCCGGUUGAUUACUUGAUUGCAUCGUUCCCCUCCAAUUAGCAGAAUAUCAUGGAAGGGAUCCCUAACCUCGGCCGGCACUCGCAGAUUCUGCCCAUAACAAAUCCCCGGAAACAAAAGAAUAAGGAGAAAAACACAGAUCAAGAUAGGAGCAACAGCAACAGCCCUUGGCCUCUGAUAGCGAUCGGCUUGCUACUUUCGUUGCUGCUGUUUUUGCUGGUGUACAAGACAUUGCUGGAUGCGCCGCUGGUGGUCCAGUUCGCCGCUGUCAAACAGAAGGCACGCCGUCUCCUCUAGCAAAAGCUCUACAUACGCCUCGUAAUAAUUAUUGAUCUCGUCUCAAGUCUCAACUCGAUCGUUCAGAUACCAUGCAUACCAGUUCGUCGUCAUAGAUUCGGUUUGUGCCUAUACAUCUGCUUAAUUCUAGUUUUGGUUGUUGGUGAUCCUGUGAUCUUUCCAUUAAUUCAGUGUGGAGUAUUGUAUCAUCUUAAUUAUGUCAGAAAUAGAUUCUGGUGUUGAUUGCUUGUACUGUUGACGCAUGCACAGCAGAUCUCUCAAGGUGAAAUGAUUUCUAAGACAAUUUCACCCUCCAGUUCUCUGUAUAUGCAUGAUUCGACCGCCUAGUGUGUUUGAUAAGAGAGUUCUAGCACUGUGUCCAGGAAAAUAAUCACUUCCCUGUAUGUGUGACGAACCUUUAGAUGUGUUUUUUUGGAUUCGCAGUACAGUAUAUACAAUUUUAAUUUAAUGACA